GGAAGCAGGACAGGAGGCGAUUACGAGGAGAGGCAUCAUGUCUUCAACAAAAUCUCUGCAUUUUAAAUCAACAAUAUGAUACUCUAGAAGAUGCGUUUGACGCCAUCUUUGAAGGCCAUGGUGUAUCAGGUGAAGAUACGAGACAUAAAUCAUCUCAAGGAAUGUAUCACCAACGCCAUUACAAGCAUAACUUCAACUGUGCUAAUGCAAGUUCAUCAACAGCGGAAAACACGUAUUAAUAUGUGUUUACAAAACAAUGGUAAUCAUAUAGAGCACAUUAUAUAAAUAAAAACGGUUGUCCAACAUAAAAUGUUUAUUUUCCUAUGUAUGGAAACUUAUGGCCUACCUUGUAUUUAUUUUAUUACUUAUAUAAGGCUUUCUAAACCCUCCCCACACACCACAGAGCAGCACUAUGUGCAGCAAUCUUAUGUAUAUGUGAAAAGAACAAGGCCAGAUGCUGAAUGCUGCUACACACAGACAGAGGAGACUGAUGCUACGGUCGCUGAGCCAAUCAGAGUCCAGCGUUGUACGCUACCCUUUUUAUUUCUAUUAAAUAUUCUUUUAAUAUGUUUUAAUUAUUAUCUUUUAUAUCCUUUUUUUUAUAUUGUUUUAAUCUCAUUUUAAUCCUCUGAAUUCCCAAUAAAGCCAUUCUCAUUUACA